AGCAGCCGCGGUAAUUCCAGCUCCAAUAGCGUAUAUUAAAGUUGUUGUGGUUAAAAAGCUCGUAGUUGAAUUUCGGAAUCAGUAUGUCGGUCGUGCCUUCGGUAUGUACUGGUGUCACUGGCUCCUCCCUUCUGAAGAACCAUCAUGUCAUUCACUUGGUGUGGUGGGAAAUCAGGACUGUUACUUUGAAAAAAUUAGAGUGUUUAAGGCAGGCUCGCGCUUGAAUACAUUAGCAUGGAAUAAUGAAAUAGGACGUUAAUCCUAUUUUGUUGGUUUCUAGGAUCGACGUAAUGAUUAAUAGGGAUAGUUGGGGGCAUUAGUAUUCAAUUGUCAGAGGUGAAAUUCUUGGAUUUAU
rnacentral:rRNA from 1 species